rnacentral:rRNA from 1 species
GUCCAGACUCCUACGGGAGGCAGCAGUGGGGAAUAUUGCGCAAUGGGGGAAACCCUGACGCAGCAACGCCGCGUGAGUGAGGAAGUAUCUCGGUAUGUAAAGCUCUAUCAGCGGGGAAGAAGGAAGACGGUACCCGACUAAGAAGCCCCGACUAACUACGUGCCAGCAGCCGCGGUAAUACGUAGGGGGCAAGCGUUAUCCGGAUUUAUUGGGUGUAAAGGGUGCGUAGACGGAGAAGCAAGUUAGUUGUGAAAUCCCUCGGCUUAACUGAGGAACUGCAACUAAAACUACUUCCCUUGAGUACUGGAGAGGAAAGUGGAAUUCCUAGUGUAGCGGUGAAAUGCGUAGAUAUUAGGAGGAACACCAGUGGCGAAGGCGACUUUCUGGACAGUAACUGACGUUGAGGCACGAAAGUGUGGGGAGCAAACAGGAUUAGAUACCCCAGUAAC